ACUUUCAACAACGGAUCUCUUGGUUCUGGCAUCGAUGAAGAACGCAGCGAAAUGCGAUAAGUAGUGUGAAUUGCAGAAUUCAGUGAAUCAUCGAAUCUUUGAACGCACAUUGCGCCCCUUGGUAUUCCAUGGGGCAUGCCUGUUCGAGCGUCAUU
rnacentral:rRNA from 3 species